GACGAACGCUGGCGGCGUGCUUAACACAUGCAAGUCGAGCGGUAAGGCCCUUUCGGGGGUACACGAGCGGCGAACGGGUGAGUAACACGUGGGUGACCUGCCCUCAGCUCUGGGAUAAGCCUGGGAAACCGGGUCUAAUACCGGAUAUGACUCCAUGACGCAUGUUGGUGGGGUGGAAAGCCUUGUGCGGCGUGAGGAUGGGCCCGCGGCCUAUCAGCUUGGUUGGUGGGGUGAUGGCCUACCAAGGCGACGACGGGUAGCCGGCCUGAGAGGGCGACCGGCCACACUGGGACUGAGACACGGCCCAGACUCCUACGGGAGGCAGCGAGUGGGGAAUCUUGCGCAAUGGGCGAAAGCCUGACGCAGCGACG
rnacentral:rRNA from 1 species